UUAAUCGUUUGCCUGCGUGGAUCUGACUGCUGCAUAAGAGUUAAGCAGUGAAAUCGUUGGUGGGUUUUUCAGAAAAUGACAACUGUCUGAAAGAGCGUUGGAAUGAAUCGCCCGCCCGCAGCGUGGUAACCGCGAAUUUUCUCUUAUAUCUUGCUAAAGGGGAAGUAAAAAGUCUUCUUCACACGGGGAAUGAUCGCGAGAUUUUAAACCGAAACUGUGAGAAAAUGCGUUGGCACACAAACUGUAUGGCUUAUGACAAGCCCACAUUUGAUCCAGAAGGGGUUUUUUUUAAUGGAUACUAAUCUGAAAUUUGCUCUCAUUACUGUGGUUGGCGCACUGGCGAUGAUUAUAGCGUUCAGUUUCACCGCAGUGAUGCACUGAU
rnacentral:sRNA from 1 species